rnacentral:rRNA from 1 species
GAUGAACGCUGGCGGCGUGCCUAAUACAUGCAAGUCGAGCGAACUGAUUAGAAGCUUGCUUCUAUGACGUUAGCGGCGGACGGGUGAGUAACACGUGGGCAACCUGCCUGUAAGACUGGGAUAACUUCGGGAAACCGAAGCUAAUACCGGAUGGGAUCUUCUCCUUCAUGGGAGAUGAUUGAAAGAUGGUUUCGGCUAUCACUUACAGAUGGGCCCGCGGUGCAUUAGCUAGUUGGUGAGGUAACGGCUCACCAAGGCAACGAUGCAUAGCCGACCUGAGAGGGUGAUCGGCCACACUGGGACUGAGACACGGCCCAGACUACUACGGGAGGCAGCAGUAGGGAAUCUUCCGCAAUGGACGAAAGUCUGACGGAGCAACGCCGCGUGAGUGAUGAAGGCUUUCGGGUCGUAAAACUCUGUUGUUAGGGAAGAACAAGUACGAGAGUAACUGCUCGUACCUUGACGGUACCUAACCAGAAAGCCACGGCCAACUACGUGCCAGCCGCCGCAGUAACAC